AUUGAACGCUGGCGGCAGGCCUAACACAUGCAAGUCGAGCGGAUGAAGGGAGCUUGCUCCUCGCUUCAGCGGCGGACGGGUGAGUAAUGCCUAGGAAGCUGCCUGGUAGUGGGGGAUAACGUCCGGAAACGGGCGCUAAUACCGCAUACGUCCUGAGGGAGAAAGUGGGGGAUCUUCGGACCUCACGCCAUCAGAUGAGCCUAGGUCGGAUUAGCUAGUUGGUGUGGUAAAGGCGUACCAAGGCGACGAUCCGUAACUGCUCUGAGAGGAUGAUCAGUCACACUGGAACUGAGACACGGUCCAGACUCCUACGGGAGGCAGCAGUGGGGAAUAUUGGACAAUGGGCGAAAGCCUGAUCCAGCCAUGCCGCGUGUGUGAAGAAGGUCUUCGGAUUGUAAAGCACUUUAAGUUGGGAGGAAGGAAAGUGAGUGAAUCUCUUGCUGUUUUGACGUUACCAACAGAAUAAGCCCCGGCUAACUUCGUG
rnacentral:rRNA from 1 species